CCGGCGGCGCGUCACGGUGUCACGAGCCAAUCCAGGAAGUACCUGGCCACAACAACAGCGAUGAAGAUACGAGUAACUGGGCGAACCUAGAGAGUCUCCGUGCCGUACACGAGUCAACCAAUGUUGAUGCCUCCAGCCUGUGCCAAAAAACGAAUGUUACCGAGAUGGAAAGAGCUGUCACAGUCGUCAUUUUGUCGCUCGUCUUCUUGGCAUCGCAGAUAAACUGCCAAGAGGCGAUCCUGCACAUUUCAAAUGGAAACACAGAGAGGGAGUACUGCAUUGUCCACAAUCACUCCUGGACCCCCCUGUCACAAAGCCUUGAUGCUGCUUUGCAGUACCCACUGGUGAAUAUGACCUCCACUAUGCUGUGUAACAACUCAACGGUCUUUCCGGAUGUCAAGGGCAAAGCGUUGGUGGUGAUGAGGGGAGACUGUGAUUUCAGCCAGAAAGCUCUCCUUGCUCAGAGCCUCGGCGCAACAGCUUUGCUCCUUGCCAGCAACAAAACAUUGAUCACUCCAUCAGCCAAUGACUCCGAGUAUGCAAAGGUCCACAUUCCUCUUGCUCUCAUGAGGUACAGGGACUUCCUGGAAGCACAGAAGGUGUUUGGCGAAAAUAUGGAGGUGAAGCUUUAUGCUCCACCUCAGUCAAAGCUUGAUCCAAGCAUAGCAGUCAUGCUACUGAUUGCUAUUGUCACGGUUGCCUUGGGCGGCCUCUGGAGUGGAGCAUGCGAGAGGGACCGGUUGAAUGGGGGUGCAGACGCGGGAGAAGUGGGAGGCAACAAAGCUGAGAUUUUCCUCUACUCUCCUCUCAAAAUAGUUUUCUUUGUUGCCCUGAUGUGUGGGAUGCUGGUCCUCAUGUACUUCUUCUAUAACGUCCUUGUUUACGUCAUUAUUGCCAUAUUCUGCCUGGCAUCUGCCUCUGCACUGUUCAGCUGUUUCGAUGCAGUGAUGGAAAAAAUUGGUUGUGGCACUGUGAGCUUCUCUGUCCGAAGUUGGAAGCUUUCAGUGAGGUCUAUCAUACUGGCUAGUGUGUGCAUUACCAUUGCUGUGAUCUGGGGAGUCUACAGGAAUGAAGACAGAUGGAUCUGGAUCCUUCAGGACCUUCUUGGCAUUGCUUUCUGCCUCAACUUCAUGAAGACCAUCUCACUGUCCAACUUCAAGAUCUGCGUGAUUCUGCUGACCCUCCUGCUUGUGUAUGAUGUCUUCUUUGUCUUCAUCACUCCAUUCUUCACAAAGAAUGGAGUAAGCAUUAUGGUGCAGGUUGCCCUGGGCCCGGAUGCAUCUGGAGAGAAGACACAAGGUAACAUGGUGGAGGUCCCUGCUGAACCCCAGAUUCCCUCCGAGAAACUGCCAGUGGUGAUGCGUGUCCCCCGGUUCUCAGCUUGGGCUCAGAACCUGUGUGGGAUACAGUUCUCCAUUCUUGGUUAUGGAGAUAUCAUUGUUCCAGGUCUCCUGGUGGCCUACUGCAGCAGGUUUGAUGUUUGGAUCAACAGCAGGAAGAAGAUCUACUUCGUCAGCUGCUGCAUAGCCUAUCUGCUGGGAAUGAUAAUGACAUUUGCUGUGAUGCUGCUGUCAGGGAUGGGCCAACCUGCCCUACUCUACCUGGUGCCAUUCACCCUGAUAACCUCCGCCGUGGUGGCUGGGUGCAGGGGUGAGAUGAGGCAGUUCUGGGCAGGAACCACCUAUGAGGUAACUGAGAGGACGGAGGUCGCACCAGACCCCACCCGAGGCUCCUGCGAGGAAGGGGUUCAUGAAUUUAAUGGCAGCGUCAAGAGAUGUUAGUGCAGUUGAACUCAGUUAUGACUGUCUUGGACUCAUCCAGGGAACCUUUGCUGCCAGAGGGAAGAACUGACUGCUCCAUAGACAGAGAGAAAUGCUGACUUACUGUGUUGAGAAUGGACCCAACUGCUGGAUGCUUUUUUUUUUCUUUUUUUUCCUUUCUUUUUUUUUUUUUUACAUUUUAAUAUGACAUUUGCAAACCGAGGGAACACAUGUUAUUGAUCAGCAGAUUCUCUAAAGAUUAUGGGUUCAUUUGACUGGUGUGAAUGUUGGUUAGAUGAAGGCUAAUUCAUUUUCUGUAGGUGCAAAAUGUAGAUGUUUAAAAUGAUUGAAAGGCUUGUUUAGUGCCUGAAGGGUCUGUUCAGUUCAUGUCCAGAAAACUGACUUUGCCUUGGUGACGAAUGCAUACAGCAAAAUAAGAAAGCACUUUAUAACAUUUAGCCUGACGGUUGUUUCAUCGGGGGAGGGGGUUUGGGUUUUAAUUAUUGGCAGCCACACUAUUGAUACAUUUUUGAUAACUGUUUUGGGGUUUCUGUGUAACCUGUUUGUAUGAUGUGAUUUCUUUCAUUGCCUUAUAUUAAAAAGAACUUCUAUCUAUUGUU